AGUAUGAACCUGGCAUAAGGAAGAUCAAGUUAAUCUAGAUCAGUCUCCGUCUGAUAGAGGAUGCUGUACCUUCACAUCAACUGCUGCAGUUAAGAGUUACCUGUAGGACAUGUGACUUAAUUUUAGUACAUUUUAGAACUGAUAGAGAAAUCUUUAUUCAUAUUAUGGUCUGAUUCUAGGCUGAACUCGAUUGGCUGAUCUGAACAUUGAAACAGCUGAUUUCUAAUAUUUCUAAUAUAUCUUCUUAAACCUCUUCCCAGAAUCCUCUGCUUCUACACUCGUCAGGAUCAUUGAGCUCUGUGGAUCUGUUCACUAAGAUCCACUCACUUCAACAACCAACAUCAAACUAAACUAAUGUCUGAUCUUUAAAUAAGACAGACUCCACCUACAUCCUCUCUAAUCUUCUUCUAAUCAUCUGCAGCUGAUUUAAUUAUGAUUACAUAAUUAUUAUACAUAUAUAUCUUAUGUAUCUUACGUACUUAUACAUUUUUCUUUUUAGACAACAACUGUAGUUUUGUAUUAUAUUUACUCUAGCUCUCAGUGCUGUUCAAAUGAAGUUCAAAAUAUAGAGAUUUUUUACAGGGUGUUUUAAAGUUUUCACACUUAUUAAUGUAUAUCUGGUUAAAUUCUGUAUAAAUAAUUUUUAACUGCCCUGGUUCUAAUGACUCCACACAUCUGUACACAGGUACUGACCCUCUGAUGCCCUUGUACACUUCCUGGCCUGUAUGUCUGGGUCUCCUGUUGGCUGUUUGGGUUGUUUUUGCGGUGAUAAAGAGAAAGACAGAGACUGCAGGAGGAUCUGAGGCUGUGGAGCUACAGAGUCUCUGAACUGGAGAAGAAAACCCUGAGAUGGUGGAGAAACAGAGAUUUUAUUUUAUUAUAUACUUUUAGCUUCUGUAGUUUAAUGAACUGCAAUGUUUCUGUAUAUUUACUAAUAUAAUAAUGUCAUGAUGAAAUAAUACAAUGAUGUAACAAUGUUAUGAUGCAAUGAUAUAAUGAUGCAAUGAUAUAAUAAUGCCAUUAUGUAUUUAUGUAUUAAUGCAAUGAUGUCAUGAUGCAAUAUUGCAAUUAGGUAAUGAUACUAUGAUACAACAAUACAAUGAUGCAAUGAUGCAUUAAUGUAAUUAUGUAACGAUGAUAUGAUGCAUCAAUACGAUGAUGUCAUGAUGCAAUGAGGCAUUAAUGUAAUGGUGCAAUGAUGUCAUGAAGCAAUUAUGUCAUGAUGCAAUAAUGCAGUGAUGUAAAAACACGUUAAUGUAACGAUGUAUGAUGCAACAAUGUAAUGUGAAAUCAUGCAACAUUUUUUCUCCCGUUUUUCACCAAGUUGUAAAUUAAAUAGAAUUACUGUUCUGUAAGAGUAGUGGCUCAAAUCGUUGAAUUAUGAAUCAACUUUCAUAGAAUAUUCAGACGCACUGCCUUUAUACAGAGAAACAAAGUGAGCUGUAAUCUAGUUCAGUGUUGCUAAAGAUGAGUCUGAUACUGAUGAUCAUCUUUCUUCUUAUCUACUUGCUCUAGGCUCCAGUUUAGAUUUAGUGAGAUUACCUGAAAAUCAGGAUUAAACACGAUAGGAAACAAAUAAAAAGCAGCUAUUCUAGUCUUUCUUGUAAUUUCUAAUUAUUUAGAAAUGAAAAAAAAUGUCUGUUAAUGAAUUUAUCUCACAUUCAUGAGAUAUGCAAAAAGGACAUUUGAGGAGUGCCCUGGAAAUUGGGCCAAAAGUGCAAUUUGACCAUUUCAUUCCAAGGUAAUUAUAAAAAAAGCCACAGUAAUAUUUGUUCUUCCUCAGGAUUUUAACAGUCUGAUUUGUUGUUUUUUAAAUUGAGACAAUUUUAAAACUAAUGAGAUGAUGCCCUAAGAAUUAGAACCUCUGUGCAAUUUGACCAUUCAUGCUAUUAUUUUACAUGCUCUGUUCACUUGUUCAUUAUGGAAAAAAUCCACAGGAUUAUUUGUCGUUUUUUUAGGAUUCUGAAAAAAAGUGUGAAAGUCAGUUUUUUUAAAUUGGCUUAAAACUGAUGAGACCAAAUCAACCAAAUCAAUUGUAUCAUAUUUAUUCUUUCCAGUGUCAUUAUACAAAAUAUUAUUAUACAAAAUAUAUCAAUAUACUUUUGGAUUUUGACAGUCGAGGUACUGUAUCUUACAUUUGACAUAUUUCAUUCUUCCUCUUAUUGUUUUAAUAAUUAAUAUAGUAUGGCUUUAUAUGGACACAGUCAACCUUUCCCUGUCCAUGGCUGCAUACACUGCACAUGUGUAUCCAGCCUUAUCUUUCAGUGUCCCUUUUUUAUUGAAUAUCACAAUAAAAAAGUAUAAUAUUUGUUUUUUUUGUUGCUAUUAUUUUACUUUUCUGACAUAUGUGUGUACUUGUGUGUGUCUGUUGUUGUUGUUGUAAUGAUUACAGCAGCUAUGUGACCUGGCUUUGUAUGGUCUGUUUAGUAAAUGAACCAACCCUCAGGUAGCCCACAACUGAGUAUGUGUCCUGAGUGCUAAAUGCUAAUGGCUAACUACACACAAUGCAGCCUCCAGGCCCAAAGUGAAGUUAGUGUGAUUCAGUGUUACACUGCGAAUGGACAUGGGCCUGAAAAGGCAUCCAGAGUCAGAGACAGUAAGGUUUAAACAUUUCCUAACCUUUAAAAAACACUUUUAUUGUGGUAAUUUCCACCUCUGCAGUGCCCUCUCAGGUUCAACUGUGCUAUAGAUUAGGAUGAUGAGAACACGGACACUCACAAUAUGCAAAUCAGUCAAUAAAUAAUACCGCCCUCUGCUGACGUCCAACUAUCU